rnacentral:rRNA from 1 species
UACGUAGGGGGGCAAGCGUUGUCCGGAUUCAUUGGGCGUAAGAGCGUGUAGGCGGCCAGGUAGGUCGGUUGUGAAAACUGGAGGCUCAACCUUCAGACGUCGACCGAAACCAUCUGGCUAGAGUCCGGGAGAGGAGAGUGGAAUUCCUGGUGUAGCGGUGAAAUGCGCAGAUAUCAGGAAGAACACCCGUGGCGAAAGCGGCUCUCUGGAACGGUACUGACGCUGAGACGCGAAAGCGUGGGGAGCGAACAGG